rnacentral:rRNA from 1 species
UACGUAGGGUGCAAGCGUUAAUCGGAAUUACUGGGCGUAAAGCGUGCGCAGGCGGUUUUGUAAGUCUGUCGUGAAAGCCCCGGGCUUACCUGGGAAUUGCGAUGGAGACUGCAAGGCUUGAAUCUGGCAGAGGGGGGUAGAAUUCCACGUGUAGCAGUGAAUGCGUAGAGAUGUGGAGGAACACCGAUGGCGAAGGCAGCCCCCUGGGUCAAGAUUGACGCUCAUGCACGAAAGCGUGGGGAGCAAACAGG